GGCAUUGUGGCUUAGCUGGUUAAAGCUAAGUGCAGUUUACUUAUCUAGUAAACAGGAGAUCCUGGGUUCAAAUCCCAGCAGUGCUU
rnacentral:tRNA from 1 species